UACGAAGGGGGCUAGCGUUGUUCGGAUUUACUGGGCGUAAAGCGCACGUAGGCGGAUCGUUAAGUCGGGGGUGAAAUCCUGGAGCUCAACUCCAGAACUGCCUUCGAUACUGGCGAUCUUGAGUCCGGAAGAGGUGAGUGGAAUUCCUAGUGUAGAGGUGGAAUUCGUAGAUAUUAGGAAGAACACCAGUGGCGGAAGGCGGCUCACUGGUCCGGUACUGACGCUGAGGUGCGAAAGCGUGGGGAGCAAACAGG
rnacentral:rRNA from 1 species